rnacentral:rRNA from 1 species
GAUGAACGCUGGCGGCGUGCUUAACACAUGCAAGUCGAACGGAAAGGCUCCUGCAUGCAGGGGUACUCGAGUGGCGAACGGGUGAGUAACACGUGGGUGAUCUGCCCUGCACUUCGGGAUAAGCCUGGGAAACUGGGUCUAAUACCGGAUAGGACGAUGGUUUGGAUGCCAUUGUGGAAAGUUUUUCGGUGUGGGAUGAGCUCGCGGCCUAUCAGCUUGUUGGUGGGGUAAUGGCCUACCAAGGCGUCGACGGGUAGCCGGCCUGAGAGGGUGUACGGCCACAUUGGGACUGAGAUACGGCCCAGACUCCUACGGGAGGCAGCAGUGGGGAAUAUUGCACAAUGGGCGCAAGCCUGAUGCAGCGACGCCGCGUGGGGGAUGACGGCCUUCGGGUUGUAAACUCCUUUCGCUAGGGACGAAGCGCAAGUGACGGUACCUGGAGAAGAAGCACCGGCUAACUACGUG